UGGGGAAUUUUGGACAAUGGACGCAAGUCUGAUCCAGCCAUGCCGCGUGCGGGAAGAAGGCCUUCGGGUUGUAAACCGCUUUUGUCAGGGAAGAAACGAGUUUCUCUAAUACAGAGACUUAAUGACGGUACCUGAAGAAUAAGCACCGGCUAACUACGUGCCAGCAGCCGCGGUAAUACGUAGGGUGCAAGCGUUAAUCGGAAUUACCGGGCGUAAAGCGUGCGCAGGCGGUUAUGCAAGACAGGGGUGAAAUCCCCGGGCUCAACCUGGGAACUGCCUUUGAGACUGCAUAGCUAGAGUACGGUAGAGGGUGAUGGAAUUCCCCGUGUAGCAGUGAAAUGCGUAGAUAUGCGGAAGAACACCGAUUGCGAAGGCAAUCCCCUGGACCUGUACUGACGCUCAUGCACGAAAGCGUGGGGAGCAAACA
rnacentral:rRNA from 1 species